AUUGAACGCUGGCGGCAGGCCUAACACAUGCAAGUCGAGCGGUAGCACAGGGAGCUUGCUCCUGGGUGACGAGCGGCGGACGGGUGAGUAAUGUCUGGGAAACUGCCUGAUGGAGGGGGAUAACUACUGGAAACGGUUGCUAAUACCGCAUAACGUCGCAAGACCAAAGAGGGGGACCUUCGGGCCUCUUGCCAUCAGAUGUGCCCAGAUGGGAUUAGCUAGUAGGUGGGGUAAUGGCUCACCUAGGCGACGAUCCCUAGCUGGUCUGAGAGGAUGACCAGACACACUGGAACUGAGACACGGUCCGGACUCCUACGGGAGGCAGCAGUGGGGAAUAUUGCACAAUGGGCGCAAGCCUGAUGCAGCCAUGCCGCGUGUAUGAAGAAGGCCUUCGGGUUGUAAAGUACUUUCAGCGGGGAGGAAGGUGUUGAGGUUAAUAACCUCAGCAAUUGACGUUACCCGCAGAAGAAGCACCGGCUAACUCCGUGCCAGCCGCCGCGGUAA
rnacentral:rRNA from 1 species